rnacentral:tRNA from 1 species
CACUAGGAAGCUAAACAGGGAACAGCGUUAGCCUUUUAAGCUAAAGACUGGUGACCACCGACCACCCCUAGUGA